rnacentral:rRNA from 1 species
CUACGGGUGGCUCCAGUGGGGAAUAUUGGACAAUGGGGAAACCCUGAUCCAGCAAUGCCGCGUGUGUGAAGAAGGCCUGCGGGUUGUAAAGCACUUUCGGUUGGGAGGACUGCUUCUAGCACUAAUAUUGUCGGAAGUUGACGUUACCUUCAGAAGAAGCACCGGCUAACUCCGUGCCAGCAGCCGCGGUAAUACGGAGGGUGCAAGCGUUAAUCGGAAUUACUGGGCGUAAAGCGCGCGUAGGCGGCUAGAUCAGUCGGGUGUGAAAGCCCCGGGCUUAACCUGGGAACUGCAUCCGAUACUGUCUAGCUUGAGUACAGGAGAGGAGAGUGGAAUUCCACAUGUAGCGGUGAAAUGCGUAGAUAUGUGGAGGAACACCAAUGGCGAAGGCAGCUCUCUGGCCUGAUACUGACGCUGAGGUGCGAAAGCGUGGGGAUCAAACAGGAUUAGAUACCCGAGUAGUC